CAGGCAGAACAAAAGCCUUCCUGUUCUCCUACACAAGUGCUGCCCAUCAUAGAAAGGGAAUUGGAGAAACAAGCCCAAGGCUCCUCUGAAGACUUAACAUUCUGUUCGCAUGAAUUAUAAAAUAAUUUGACAUGGAAGCAGCAAGCCAAAAAACAAAGUAAGGGAGGAAAGAAAAGAAAACAACAGACUAUCAGCAGAAGUUUUCACUGUGAAGCAAAUGCGAAAGGGGAAAGGAAAAAAAUGUCCCAAAUGAGAUGGAUGUACAAUGGGGAAAGACUCGGAAAUAAGUUUCUAGGAGCAACCUUGCAUUGGAUAAACUAGUUCUGCUGUAAAUUUACUAAGCAAUGUUUUUAACAGACAUUUGGGUAGGAAUGCCUGAGGAAUUAUGUUUGGAUUGCUUCUGGCAGCAGAUGAGCCCAAUCCAAAGCUCCUGAAAGAAUAAAACUCCUGGAUGAACUGUGCACUUAUCUGGAUUUUGCAGUGCAUUUUGGGUGUGCAAAAGUGCAUACAAAAAUAGAUAUUAUGCGUACAAAAUGUGUAUUUUACUGGUGACUGCACUGAUAAGCAUUGUUUUUAAAUUGCUGAUUGGUUUUCAGAGCCUGCAAAAAAAGCUUUUUUGUUUAAGCAUGUGAUUUUAGAAUGUAUAUAAAGUAAAACUGCUGGUUUUAUUUAUGUUUUGAUACAUUUUAG